AAAGCCAUGUUAAUUUUGACUCCCAUGCUUGUUUCAGUAGAACAUCAGUAUCUGAAUAAUUCCAAGCUCUACUGGAAAUGCAGGAAAAUCACAAGCCAUUCUGACAAGCAGAACAAAGAAGAGGCUUGGCCCUCCAGAGAGCUUCUGAAUAUGAAUGUUCCAAGGGACUCUGCACAAAUAUCUAGAACACCAGAAAGGAAAGAUCAUUUGGAAGAACAGAAUUUGAGUACAUGGUUCACACAGAAUCCUGUCCAGUAUCUCACCCUGCAGGACUGUGGAUAGAGACCGGAACCCACACCCAGCCACAAGAGGAACAAAAGAAAUGCAGGAGCUUUCUGAGGCAAAUGCUGGUGUGGAAAACCUGCAUAUUCCUUUUUCACUGCUACAUAUGUACAUAAAUAGUAUAUACAUGAUUCCAUGUACCUGCUGGAAUUAAAUUUAAAAAUGAAAUAAAAAUAUCCAAGUGCAAUGAA